rnacentral:rRNA from 1 species
UGCGUAGGCGGACUAAUAAGUCAGUGGUGAAAUCUUUCGGCUCAACCGAGAAACUGCCAUUGAUACUGUUAGUCUUGAGUUCGGUUGAGGUAGGCGGAAUGUGUAAUGUAGCGGUGAAAUGCUUAGAUAUUACACAGAACACCAAUUGCGUAGGCAGCUUACUAGACCGACACUGACGCUGAGGCACGAAAGCGUGGGGAGCGAACAGGAUUGAUACCCUGGUAGUCC